rnacentral:misc_RNA from 1 species
UCUCCGUAGGUGAACCUGCGGAGGGAUCAUUACUGAGUGAGGGCUCACGCCCGACCUCCAACCUUUUGUGAACACAUCUUGUUGCUUCGGGGGCGACCUUGCCGGCACUCUGUCGCCGGGCGCCCCCGAAGGUCUCCAAACACUGCAUCUUCGCGUCGGCGUUUAAAACAAAUUAAACAAAACUUUCAACAACGGAUCUCUUGGUUCUGGCAUCGAUGAAGAACGCAGC